GUGUUCUAAAUACUAACCCUCAUAAUACCCUGAAUAAUACAGUUAGUAUGUUAAAAAUUAAUUAAAAGAAUGGUCAUCACAACUUUGAAUUCCAUGGUACACUUUCCACAAAUGCUUCUGUUUGUACCAUGUUGAUUAGUAAUGUGACCCUUUCUUUCCCAUGUUUAGUGAUUUAGAAUCUAGAAGAGAAGUAAAAAAAGAAGAAGGUGAAGCUUUUGCACGAGAACAUGGACUCAUCUUCAUGGAAACGUCUGCUAAGACUGCUUCCAAUGUAGAAGAGGCAUUUAUUAAUACAGCAAAAGAAAUUUAUGAAAAAAUUCAAGAAGGAGUCUUUGACAUUAAUAAUGAGGCAAAUGGCAUUAAAAUUGGCCCUCAGCAUGCUGCUACCAAUGCAACACAUGCAGGCAAUCAGGGAGGACAGCAGGCUGGGGGCGGCUGCUGUUGAGUCUGUUUUUACUGUCUAGCUGCCCAACGGGGCCUACUCACUUAUUCUUUCACCCCCUCUCCUCCUGCUCAGCUGAGACAUGAAACUAUUUGAAAUGGCUUUAUGUCACAGAAGACUUUAAUCCUUCAAAUUCUUGUAUAACUUUGAAUAAAUGGUUAAUGUUCACUUA
rnacentral:sRNA from 1 species